UGCAGCAGCCCCCGCACAGAAGCAGGAGACUGCUGUAAAGUAGUCUCCUGCUUCCAGAGGCAGACUGACGGUCGGGCACUUCCUGAGCCAGAGGGGGCCCUCUACUGCCACCCACAUUUUUUCUUUACACCUGCGGCAUGUGGGCCCCGUAAAAUCAGCGCAGGGGUUGCACUGUCUGCCUGGGAUGAGAAGAGCAGAGAGCUAUGACCCCGCCCCCCUCACACUAUUGGUGGAGCAGGAGCACAUGUCCUGCUCCAUAGACUCUGCUGAUACCAGCUCACCAUUGGGAAGAGGAAGCCUUCCAAUGCCUACAACUGGGUCCUGCCCAUCAAACAAAUAGAUAAAGACAGCACCUCAGUCGUCCAGAGUAGAAGAAGAAAAUGAAAAUGGGGUGCCCGCAUUCCUGGAACCUGGGUCCACUGGUUCCUCAAUCAAGAGAAAUAAAGAUGAUGCAGCACUCCACACAUAUGCAAAAGAUUCUGUGAAGAGGAGUAAUGGUUGGAAGAAGACUUCAUGAUGGUCAGAACAAGAUAGAAAAUGAAAGAGAACCAUUCCAAGAAGACGCCUCCUGCAUACCAGGAAAGUGGACGAGCACCGAGAGGUUUACAAAUAUAAACCUGGAUUACGACACCAAAAAUAUGUUUACAUGGAAUACACAAAAUAGCCAAAUUAUUAAUAGAGGCCCCAAGAACAACUGGAGGCGGCCAUAUAGGAAAAGACGGAGCCAAGAUUAUUGGACCAUCUAAAUGGACACGAGUGCCUCUGAUGAGGCCCCCCGAGAAUCUGUUAGUACUAGUGCACCCCCACAACCUCCUUUAUGUGCAGGACAAGGCGGGGAAGGAGAAAGGGGAAGACCAAGAGGAAAUUACUGCCAGAAAAGGAAGGGGGUCUCAUGGAGGGAUUAGAAGAGGAUGCUCUGGUAAUCAAUCUCACUGAUGUCCCCCUCCCCAUGAAUACCUUGGCCGUACUAUCUAAAGGUCUGAAUUUUGGUGUGAUGGAGGAAUUUGACUCUACAUCCUUUGAAGUAGAUCAAUUUAAAAGGGUACU